rnacentral:rRNA from 1 species
GCUGGCGGCACGCCUACACAUGCAAGUCGAACGAAGUAGCAAUACUUAGUGGCAGACGGGUGAGUAACAUGUGGGUAUCUGCCCUUUGGCCUGGAAUAACACGAGGAAACUUGUGCUAAUACCGGAUAAGUCUUUACGGAGAAAGCUUUAUGCACCAUUGGAUGAGCCUGCACUUGAUUAGUUUGUUGGUGGGGUAAUGGCCUACCAAGACUGUGAUCAAUAGCUGAUUUGAGAGGAUGAUCAGCCACAUUGGGACUGAGACACGGCCCAAACUCCUACGGGAGGCAGCAGUGGGGAAUCUUGCACAAUGGAGGAAACUCUGAUGCAGCGAUGCCGCGUGAGUGAAGAAGGCCUUUGGGUUGUAAAGCUCUUUCGUCGGGGAAGAAAAUGACUGUACCCGAAUAAGAAGGUCCGG